CCUACGGGAGGCAGCAGUAGGGAAUCUUCCGCAAUGGACGAAAGUCUGACGGAGCAACGCCGCGUGAACGAUGAAGGCCUUCGGGUCGUAAAGUUCUGUUGUUAGGGAAGAACAAGUGCUAGUUGAAUAAGCUGGCACCUUGACGGUACCUAACCAGAAAGCCACGGCUAACUACGUGCCAGCAGCCGCGGUAAUACGUAGGUGGCAAGCGUUGUCCGGAAUUAUUGGGCGUAAAGCGCGCGCAGGCGGUUUCUUAAGUCUGAUGUGAAAGCCCCCGGCUCAACCGGGGAGGGUCAUUGGAAACUGGGAAACUUGGGUGCAGAAGAGGAAAGUGGAAUUCCAAGUGUAGCGGUGAAAUGCGUAGAGAUUUGGAGGAACACCAGUGGCGAAGGCGACUUUCUGGUCUGUAACUGACGCUGAGGCGCGAAAGCGUGGGGAGCAAACAGGAUUAGAUACCCUGGUAGUCCACGCUGUAAACGAUGAGUGCUAAGUGUUAGAGGGUUUCCGCCCUUUAGUGCUGAAGUUAACGCAUUAAGCACUCCGCCUGGGGAUACGGUCGCAAGACUGAAACUCAAAUGAAUUGACGG
rnacentral:rRNA from 1 species